ensembl:lncRNA
CCCAGUAGAACUUGGGACCACCCUCCUAUGCAUUUAAACCAAUCCCGUAUUCAAGCGAGGCCAUCCUACCUCCCAACCUAGGAGGUCCGGUCCGACCUCGGUACAUUAAAUAAUCGCGGGCACCAGGGAUCUCUCUGAAGGGUGGCGGGGAGAAGGGAACGCGGAGAGGGGCAGGUGGCUUGGCCGGUCAGGCGGCGGCCUCGGGCAAGGAAGCCGUGUUUACACCUGUCACGAGGAAGAGGCGAAGGGUGGGGGAGAGAAAGCAAAGCUCCAAACUUCACAACUCUCUGUGUGUGUGUGUGUGUGUGUGUGUGUCUGUGUCUCUGUGUGUGUGUGUGUGUCUGUGUGUGUGUGUGUGUGUGCAUGCUUUUUUUUUUUCCCGAGGGAGCGGAAGAAGAGCAAAUCAGGGCAGGUAGAGGGAUCUGGACCAGGAGAGGGGCGCGGGGUGGGUCCAGGUGGGGAGGGGGAGAGGUCGCCCCCGGCCGGGGCCGGGGAGCUGGGGGUUGUCAGGGCGGCGGCCGGAGCCCCGCAGCGGGGUGCGGGGCUGGGGGGGGAGCGGCCCCAGCCCCGGCCCCGGCCCCCGAGGACGGACUCGCCCGCAGGCCCGCAGAGCCGCUUCCUUCCCCGCACCCCCAGGCAGGAGCCCCUCACUGCUGCCGCCCGCCCCUCCGUCCCCCCCGCCCCCUGCUCCGGCCAGCCCCGGGGCGGCCUCGGAGGCGGCGCGGUGGGAGUUUCCAGCGUCUGGGCAGCCCCGUCCUCAGAAGGAAGGCGACCCUGGCGCGGCGACCGCUUCUUACCUGGCUCCUCCAAGGCGGCCGCGAUGGGCAUGGCUCGGGGCCGGGGGAGGAACUGGCUCCUCCGGGGCGGAGCGGAGUGGGCGACUAGAGAGGCCGAGCUUCCCGCCGCUCUCUCAGCGGAGCGGCGCCAUCUACACCCACCCGGACUUUCAGCGGCGCCGCGGUACCCCCAUCCCGCUACCCUCCGCCUGCCUCCGCCGCCGCCGCCGCCGCCUCCUCCACCUCCUCCUCCUCCUCCUCCUCCUCCUCCGCGGAGAUUCCCCCCGCCCACUCCACACAUUCUCCCAUCAUGCAGCGGGAGAACCGCCGGCGCGGCUACGUCAUUUCCGGGAGCAAGGUGGCUGGGUGGGGGCCGGGCGGGUGAUGUGGGGAGGGACCCCUGGAAGAGAACUGGUGUCAUAGACGCUCUUGUCGAGCGCGGAGCUCAGCCCGCCAUUUUGGAUGCGGGCAAAAUUGCCCUUUUCUUGGUGCGGGGCGAGCCGCGGAGAAUCCCAGCAGCCUUCUGUGCCCUGGAUCUCUAAAGCUCCAGUCCUCACAUGGGAUAGGAAGCAUCUCAUCUCUACGGGCACCGCUUCCUGCACUGCACAAUCCAGAGACGCAGACUGUAAUCCAUCUGUGGUUGCCCAUCCUGUGAGAUUGUCAUCCACGUCCUGCCACAAGUGUGUCAAGGGAGUCCAUUCCCUGUGCUGGGAGACCUUCUUUGCAUUCUCUUGACUCUAUGUGGAUAUCAGUAGAGUACGCGCCCAAUCCAACUGUUAUCUCUCAUUCUUGCUACAUGACUGGUC